CCCUUAGAGUUUGAUCCUGGCUCAGAAUCAACGCUGGCGGCGUGCCUCAGACAUGCAAGUCGAACGCGAAAGCCUCCUUCGGGAGGCAAGUAGAGUGGCGCACGGGUGAGUAACACGUAGGUAAUCUACCUUUGGAUUGGGAAUAACCACCGGAAACGGUGGCUAAUACCGAAUAAUGCAGCGGCACCUAAUGGUGACAGUUGUUAAAGCGGGGGAUCGCAAGACCUCGCGUCUGAAGAGGAGCCUGCGGCAGAUUAGCUAGUUGGUAAGGUAACGGCUUACCAAGGCGAUGAUCUGUAGCCGGCCUGAGAGGGCGGUCGGCCACACUGACACUGACAUACGGGUCAGACUCCUACGGGAGGCAGCAGUCGGGAAUUUUGGGCAAUGGGCGAAAGCCUGACCCAGCAACGCCGCGUGAAGGAUGAAAUCCUUCGGGAUGUAAACUUCGCAAGAACGGGAAGAAUAAGUAAGGGUUAAUAUCUCUUACGAUGACGGUACUGUUUGUAAGCUCCGGCUAACUCCGUGCCAGCAGCCGCGGUAAUACGGGGGGAGCAAGCGUUGUUCGGAUUUACUGGGCGUAAAGGGCGCGUAGGCGGCCACCGCAAGUCGACUGUGAAAUCUCCGGGCUUAACCCGGAAAGGUCAGCCGAUACUGCGGGGCUAGAGUGCAGAAGGGGCAACUGGAAUUCUCGGGUGUAGCGGUGAAAUGCGUAGAUAUCGAGAGGAACACUUGC
rnacentral:rRNA from 1 species